AUGCCGGACUGUUUUUCUUUUCUCAGGAACGCUUAUGAUUAUUCGCAAGGGCUCAAUUUUGACAGCGUGACGGAGGAAGAUAUUCUAGCCAGCUUUGGGAAAUCAUUUGACAUCUGUUUUGGUGCAGCAAUAGGACGCCAACAGAAGAGGUCCCACGACUCUAUAGCAAUACUGGAGAUGUUCGCAGAAGAGGUGACGAAGAGAGUGAACCAGGCACUGCAUAGGACCACUCAAUCUUCACUGUAUUUAUCUGAGUCGCAAACCUCAAUUGAUUUUCCAUCGGAAGAAAUGAUUUAUUAUAUCGGCAAAAUAUUGAUGGGGCUCUUACAAUCAGACUAUGAAGACGAAGACGAAGACGAAGACGAAGGAGACCGCUCAACAGUAGUUUUACAAAUCUCAGCCAGUGACACCAUGCAGCGUCCUGUUAUUACCACACAGGAGCGGCCACAGAAAUCAGGCAAAGAAGAAGACGAGGAAACACUCCACUCUUCAGAGAUUUCAGAAGACUCAUCCAGUGACAUCAUACAGCAUUAUAUCAAUAACACACAGAAGCUGCCACAGAAAUCAGGCAAAGAAGAAGACGAGGAAACACUCUGCUCUGUAUCAGAGAUUUCAUACCUCUCAGACUUUACCACAGGAGAGCAGAACCAUAAAUCAGACGAAUCAGGCGAAACAGAAGAGGAGCUGCCACAGAGAGAUGAGACCUUUCUCGUCUGUUUUGUCUGUAAGCUGGUGGAUCACAUCGCUCACUCCACCAAGACAACAAUAUACAACGUGGAUUUAGAUCUGAUGUUGGAACGACUGAACAAGAGUACUGUUGGAAGUCUCUCUCUCCCACAGACAGUUGGAAACAUCCACAUCCCCGUCUAUAAAGAGCUUUGCCACCAGUUUGGAUCUGCUGCAAGGCUUCAGGCUGCCAUGGUGUCCAAAGAUGGGAAGUUUGAAGAAGCCGUUGCCAAGACAUUAAAGGCUCAGCUGCAGAAGUCUUCAAGAAAAAACAUCAGCUUCAUGGCCAAAGUCAAGAAGACUUUCUGCCGCAAGUCUAGAAAAGUUGCUCCCAUCAUCGAGACAAACACAUCAGUCUCUCACACUGAAGUCAUUGAGCUGGUGAAUGGAUCGACGCCCCCACCUCAGAGGAGACAGAAGUUCCCCGCCAUUCGUAGAAUGUUCGCCUCCGCAGCAAAGUUCCUGAGGAACCCGUUCAGCCAAUGCAUCAGCGCUAGUAAUACAGUGGCCUCUGCUCUCUCUCUGUGGAGUUCACAUGUGCUCCCCCCGUAUUGA
rnacentral:lncRNA from 1 species